AAACAUGUCUUUUUGAAUUUAAUUUAAAGUCUGACCUGCCCACUGAAUUUAGUUUAAAUGGCCGCAGUAUUUUGACUGUGCAAAGGUAGCAUAAUCAUUAGUCUUUUAAUUGAAGGCUGGUAUGAAUGGUUGGACGAGGUAUAAACUGUUUCAUAUAAAUUUAUUAUAGAAUUUUAUAUUUUAGUUAAAAAGCUAAAAUUUUAUUAAAAGACGAGAAGACCCUAUAAAUCUUUAUAUUUUUUAUUGUUUAAAUUUUUUGGAUUUUAUUUUAUUUUUAUAGUAUAAAAUAUUUUGUUGGGGUGAUGUUAAAAUUUAAUGAACUUUUAAUAAUUUAAAAUCAUUAAUUUAUGAAUUAUUGAUCCAUUAAUACUGAUUAUAAGAUUAAGUUACUUUAGGGAUAACAGCGUAAUUUUUUUUGAGAGUUCAUAUCGACAAGAAAGUUUGCGACCUCGAUGUUGGAUUAAGGUAUAGUCUUGGGUGUAGCUGUUCAAGAAUUAAGUCUGUUCGACUUUUAAAUCCUUACAUGAUC
rnacentral:rRNA from 1 species